AACGAACGCUGGCGGCAUGCCUAACACAUGCAAGUCGAACGAGACCUUCGGGUCUAGUGGCGCACGGGUGCGUAACGCGUGGGAACCUGCCCUUAGGUUCGGAAUAACUCCCCGAAAGGGGUGCUAAUACCGGAUAAUGUCUUCGGACCAAAGAUUUAUCGCCUUUGGAUGGGCCCGCGUUGGAUUAGCUAGUUGGUAGGGUAAAAGCCUACCAAGGCGACGAUCCAUAGCUGGUCUGAGAGGAUGAUCAGCCACACUGGGACUGAGACACGGCCCAGACUCCGAGGGGAGGCGGCAGUGGGGAAUAUUGAAAAAUGGGCGAAGGCCUGAUCCAGCAAUGCGGCGGAAGUGAUGAGGGCCUUGGGGUUGAAAAGCUUUUUUACCGGGGAUAAAAAGGAAGGUACGGGAAAAAAAAGCUCCGGCUAACCCCGUG
rnacentral:rRNA from 1 species